UUUCCCCCAAAACUGUUUAUGUAUAAAAUGUUUUUUAAAACCUACCUUUUAAAAAUCUAAAAACCCUCUAAUUGUUGUGUGGUCUCCACACUGCUCUGACUGGCCCAGGCCCAUCAGCGUGUCCCCGGUGGUGCCACCGCAGGGGCCUGUGUGUGCCCGUGUGCGGUGCUGGGAGCACCAAGCCCCUGUCCACGACCAGAAGUGAACCUUUCACCUUGUACUGACCUAGAGUGCAUGGGAUUUUUUUUUUCCCCCCAAGGAGAAAAUUCAGUUUUCUUGAAAUGGGCUGAGCAUGUGCUCUCUGAGCCGUGGGGUCUCCAGGUCUCACUCUCUGCAGGUUGAUUCUGCCUCUUGAGGAACAAGGAAGAGGAGCCGCACCUCACACAGUGGCACGCGGGGGCCCUCCUGGCACGUGCGUCUUGUCACGUGACACCUCAGGGCGCUGCAAGGCCCCCAGCCCCUUGCUCCCUGAUGGAAGUAGGAUGAAGCAGAACCCGACCUGCUGUGACGUCCCCCCAACACCUCCAGCGGGAGACCGAGGACAAAACAAAGGUCCUUCACAAUUUAUACAUACAGUAAUGUACAGCACAGCAAAAAGACUGCAAAAAAUUAUUUGUAAAGCCAACACAAUAGAUACUAGAAAUUGAAACCAAGGCGUUUGUUUCAACAUUUUAUCCAUUCUAAUUAAAUAAUAAAUGGACGCUACGGGGUGUGUCUACCAGUGAUGCAGAAGGUCGUGGGCAAAUGGAGCCUCAGAGAACGCUAAUCCACGCCGCGUGCUCUGUUAUUACACAACAGGUAUCUGGAUAUAUUUUUUCUGUUUUGUGUGUUUUUUUUUUUUAAAUAACAAAAGUAUAUUAAUGCCCCAUAUUGACUAUACGUUUUAUGUGCAAACCAAGGGUAAGCUUUAAAAAGUUCGUUAGUCCUUGAACCCUUUGAAAACAAGCGAACGAUACCAGAAACUACAUGGCAUAGUUAAAACUUCCAUCUGUUAAAAUAGCAAAAUCAGAGUUAUUGACUAGAUAUGGCUUUUCAUCCAGAGGAGCAGGGACGAGUUUCUAAGCGCUGGGAGUGGAGAGGGAAGAGUCCUUUAGACCACUCAGGUGUUGCCGAAUCCACGUCCAAUUGCUUUCCCGGCUCCAAACCCUUGACGUGAUUUUAAACUUGAGAAACUGCUGAACGAGUGAGAAUCAACCAUCACAUGUUAAAAAUAUGAUUUCUUGGGUCCUUCGUGGGUGUGGAAUAACACAGGGAAACUUAAGGCAAAGUUCUUCUGGGGGGCGGUCUCGUGUCACUUCCGGUGGAAGUACAGGGCCUUGGCGUUCCCCGACUCCACCUUGGGCAGCUGGUCGCUGAUGAUCUCCACCAGCAUCGCGGGGAACUCCACCUUCAGCGCCUGGGACUCUCGGAAGGUGUAGAAGCAAAAUUCCAGCAAGUCACUCACCAGCUGCAAGAGAGAGAGAGGUGAUGCGGCGAGGGCCCCGCUCCGGCCCCGGCCCUCCGGCGUCUGCGCGAGGAGCUGCGGAAACUUGCCAGGAGGCCAGGUCUGUGGAGCUGCCUAGUGGACACAGGUGAGGGGCCGAGGCGGAGGGGCUCCCUUGCCUGUUGUGUGCAUCUCGUGCAAAUCAGACUGAGCCCAGAGUUGUCUGUCUGGGACUGACAACAGGGACAGUGAGCCUUCCCAGUGGCGGGCUCCCUGCAGCGGUCUCAUCGAGAGCUCAUUCCUGCACAUGUGUAUCUUGGGCCCCUGGCGAUGGGUGGAGGGCCAGGUGGUGGGCAGCCAGGAGUGAGGGGCAGGACAGUGGGCCUUGCUGGCACAUCCCACAGUCUCUAGAUGAGCUGUGGGGGCACCCCCCACCCCCUUCAGGCUCCCCAGGAGCUGAGGGCUGAGGUUUCUCAGCUGCUUUCUUUUUGAGAUAUAAUUUAUAUACAUGUUGUGUGAGUGAUGGAAGUACAGUGGGGGCAAAAUAACUGGCAAGCGACCAUCUCCGGGACACGUAACCACUUCUUUUGUGGCAAGAACAUUUAAGAUGCGCUCACUUAGCACCGUGGACGUACAUAAUACAGGUUUGUUAACUGGGAUCACCAGGCUGUGUAUCCACCUCCCCAGGACUUAUCAAACAGUGUGAACUCCCUGUAUCUCUGACCACUUCCUCGGGCCCCCGGCAAGCACUAUUCUACUCUGUUGCUACAGGUUGGUCCUCGUUGGACGCCACAUAGAAGGAGCUCCUACGGCACUGUCUUUCUCUUGAUGUUUGUCACUUAGCAUAACCCUCGAGGUCCAUCCGUGCUGUCCUGAGGGAAUGGCUUCCCUUCUCUGGGCUGAGUAAUAGUCCGAUACGCAUGUGGAGGAAGACAUACCCACCACAUCCCCGUACCCACUCUCGGCCACUUUCUGUUUCAGGCUGACAUCGAGAGCGUGGAAGCAUCAAGGACACCUCUCCUGUUGGGCUACUCUCCUACGGUGACCCCACGACCUUUCUCAACCUCCUGGGCCUGAACUGCUCCCAAUUCUGUAAGUUAAAAACCAAGCGAUCCCCAAAUUCAAUACAGCACCGCAAGUUGCUAGUCUACUCCCUAGAAAUAGGAUUUCAAAUAAGAGAAACAAGCUAAUUUUUCUUAAUUCCCUGUCCUUCUGGGGAGAGUGACUUCUGGUCAUUUCCUGCUGUGAACAUGACCUGCCCUGAAUCUCUCUGUAGACCAAGUGUAACCCUCCCUUAGGAUUUAGGAAAAAACUCAGUUAGCAAGCCGAGGCAGGCAGGAAAGAAGUGUAAAGGCCUUUAGCACGGAGCAGAAAUUGAGAAAAUCUCACCGGGUAACAUGAGCCUGCAGGGUGGCGGCUCCUUGUGUGGGCUCAUGGGACUGAGAGAGAAUUAGCACCCGGGGCGUUGGGCCACGGAAGGUGGGAGACAUGCAGGCGCCUUCUGCACAAAGUAGCCACCCUCCCCUUGCCUGUGACCUGGGGGCAUCAAGAGGAUCCGCUCCCCAGGGCUGCUGCAGAGAACUGGCCAGAAACUCGUGCUGAGCAGAUGUUGGGUCUAAGAGGCUGAGAGGUGCUUUUGGGGUGCGACUUUGGCUCUGUCCUCCCACUGCCCCAGACUCCUUCAUUCAGCCGCAAACCACUUUCUCCGGGGGACCCAGUUUGUAAGACCUGUUCUCGUUCACCCUCAUGCAACUUCGUCCUCUGAUGCCCCCACCCCCAUCAGUGGGGACAGGUGAGCUUUGUUUUUGCCUUUCCAGACAAGAGGUUAAGGACCAGCCCCCACACUUUUACUUUAGUUGGCUGUGAGCUAAAAGCCAGCCAUGCAGGGUCUCCCUAUCUAGCUGUAGAGCCACAACCAGCGGGGCACACCCUUCAAGGGGGAGAACAGAGCCCUGGCCCCCGCUAUGGGGGACCUGGAUUCGCCUUCCCCAGAAAUCUGCGUGGGUGCCUACAGGGCUGUAGAACGUUACACCGAGGGUAUGCAUCAGUUUCUGUAUCACCCUGCAUGUCUGCAUCCGAGGGUCCUUAUCCACCGUCCGGAUUCCCAGCCUCUGCUCAGGACUGGGCCUGGGGAGAGUACAGACCCCACUGCAAAACCCUGCUCCUGCGGCCUCAGGUUCGAUGGUGAGCUGGGGGGGGCAGGGAGUGGAGCAGGAGCUUGGGAAAGGGCACCUGCUACCUGUCCGAGUAACGCCACAAACGGGCCAGGCAGGGCACUUCAGCUUUGCAGUUAAACACAAUGACCCACAUGCAGAAGCAGAGUAAACCUGUUGCUGCACACAAGGCAGCGUGCACGGGGACGGGGCUUGUCCCCACCGCUGCGCUGCCCCGGGGAGCUCCCAGCGCGAGCACCAACCAGGAGACACUGAUAAACGGAGCCAGGGCGGCGUCUCCCCGCACUUCUGGUCCAUGUGAACAGGCCGAGCCCAGCCAGCUGCCUAGGGGCUCGGAGGGGGCACAGCCUGACUGAGCAGGGACAACGCUGAAAAUCGCUGCAGGACUCAGCUCAUGGGUCCUGAGUGAGGAUGAAACCCGGGGAAGGGAGCAGGGGGAGUGUUCUGCCCUGCAGCGCCCUCCGGCUAACCCGGCCAGCAGGUCAGAAGCCUUCAGGACAGGACCCACAGGCCCUUAGCAGGUAUCUGAGGUAGGGGGUGCAGCAGUGGCACUGACCGGCCAGGAUGGACCCUGGUUCCUGAGCCCAACUGCUGUCACAGCCACACUCCCCGCCACCGCUCAUUGCUGGGUGUCAGCCCCAGGCCGGGGCACCCACCCAGGAACCCAGCAUGGUCUCCAGCCCAGAGGAUCCAGGAAGCAACGGUACACAAAGGGUACAGGGCACAUACCUUCCCCAGGCACCCCCUCUCAGGCAGGACUGGGCUCUGCAUGACUCCAAACACUUCUGCACCCCCAACACUAUUCCUACCACGAAGCCAGAAAACAGGGAAGAGCUGAGUCCUGGGGUGCAGGUGGGUGGCAAACCCAGCCCCUCAAAGUAAACCCCUUACAGACAUCUCUGCAUGGACAGGCGGACAGCCCUCAGAGAGAAACCAGCCUUUUCCUCGGUCACUCUCUCAGGAGAUGCAAGUUGCAGCUGCUUUUACUGGUUUUCCAGGCACCUUUCCCCCUCCGAUGCCCUGGUCUCCGUAGCCGUCUCCCUGCUCAUGGGGCGCCCUGGUCUGGAAAAAUCCUUCCUCACCCCUGAACUCACCAGGUGACCCACGUCCACAUUUACGCUGCGUGGGUCACGUGUCUUACGGGGACCCCUUCACCGCUGCAGGUUCCUGGAGGGCAGGACCCACCUCCCUGGCCCGGGCGCGAGGGGCCUCGCUCCUCCGACUACUUCCAAGCGUGUAGGUGAGUGCUCGGGAGUGGCUUAUCUUAGGCUUUAUUUUUAGGGCAGCAUUGGCUAGUUCUCACUGUAAUGUCAAGCAAAAACCAGGUAAUGACAGUCGACGUCUAAGUAAGCAAGCAAGCAGAACUCAAUUCGUGGGGCUAACCCUUUUCAUCCCCCCCCCCCCCCAAGAUUUGCUCUUGACUCAUUUAGGAUGGGUUUUAACCUGACUUCCCACACGUGCCACCCGCCGGUCACUGCUCACGGUGGUUGGAGGGGCUGGCUGAGGUGGGAGGAGGAAGUCACAGCGAGGAGAAGCUCCACCUGCUGCUCCAUCCGCACAAACUCCUGGACGGCAAAGAGAAACGGCUCAGCCCUCUGAUGCCCACUAGCUCUCCCUGUAACAGAAGAGGCCGGCAGUCACGUAUUCCAGGUGUCCCUGCAGCACAGGACAGGGCCGUGCAAGGAUGACACAUGGAGUCAACCCUGAUCAAAGCCCCAGCCCAGCGUGCAUAAAGUCUGCUGUAUGGGAUGGUAACAUGGUGCAAAGGUUGCCCUCAGAAAGCCUGAACCCACAGUGCCAACCCGGAGUGCUCCUGGCAGGAGAGUCCAGAGGCAUCUAAGAGGAAAAGCACCAGAAAGAUACCAGCAGGGAGGGGGAAUCUGGAGAGUCUUGCCAGAGGCAAUAAAGAGAUCACAGAAGACCAUCCUUCCUGAGGAGAGACCCCAGCAUGCACGCAGCAGCGAGAGUCAGAAGAACUUUACCAGCGCUGUCCCCACAGCUCUGCCCAGGCAGCACGCAGCAGUCACCUCUGCAACCGGGAAAGAACAGUAAGCGGGUGCCCAGCCUCCCUAGAGACGGCGGACCUCCGUGACUGGAGGAGACCGAGAACAGCAAAGGGCCUUCAUGGGACAUGGUUCCCGCUGUGUUCAGCAGAAGUCCACUCGUGGGUCCCUCCCUACCAGGCCUGCCGGCGCCGCGACACUGAGCGCAAGGUCCAGGGUGAGCAAGGGUAAAUCAGACUAGAGCUGUAGCGCCACCUUUUGGAAAGUGGAAGAGAGGUUUCUAGUCCGGUGAGGUGUAAGGAGCAAGGGAAAGUUCUUGAGUUUCAGAAACAUUUCUUUUGUUCACUUCACAUGGCAGAAGCCAGUCAGAACCUUGACGGCUCACACCUACCAAGAAUAUUGGAGAGCUCAGAUACAGAUUACAGAUAUGUUAUUUGCAUGGGAAACUUGCUUAAGAAUUCUGUCACGGUGGGACAGUGGACCUCUACCAAGGCAGAGAAAAUCCUAGCUAGUAACAGCACCGGUGAGGAGCUGACCCCAUCUGAAGGCAACCAGCAAAGAUUUAAAGUGUCUUUUACUUUCAAUGUGGAAGCAAUAAAAAACCGUAAGUGAAAUGAAAAAUCGAGUUAGGGUAUCACCAAAAGAUAGUCAUUCUGCAUACCUGAGACGCAAAGAAUGAACUGUAGAACUCAAUGGAAUGAAAUAAAAAAUGCAACAGAGAGCAUAUGAGUAGAACAAGGGGAAGAUAGGAAUUCUGAAAUAGCCCAGGUAGAGGAAAAGAAUGGAAUAUACAAUACAUGCAGAAUAUUAGAACCGGGAUACCAGAGAAAGAAGAGGGGCAGAAAGCUUAAGAAAUGACUGAACUUCCUAAGUCUGGGGAGAGAAUGUGACAUCUGGGUUCAUAAAGCUAAUAGAUUAUCCCAAAGAUAAACAACUGAAAAAGAAGGGAGAAAGAGAUUGUAACUAUAAAGGAACCCCUCUUAGCCUACCAGAUUUUCAGCAGAAAUUCUACAGGCCAGAAGAGAAUGGAAUGUUAUAUUCCAAAGUGUUGACAUUAAAAUUAUGAGCCAAGAAUACUCUGACAAAAUUAUCCUCCAGAGAUGCAGGAAAACUACUUCCCUAGACAUGAAAAAGCGAUGGAGUUCAUCACCACUGGACCAGCCUUGCAAGAAGUGCUAAAGUUUAUGUUGAAAUGAAAGACACUGAUCAGUGACAUGAAAACAUACAAGUGUAGCUACUGUAAUGUCUAAUGAACGCACCACAAAAGCAGUCAAUCAUGACAUCAGAAAUAUAAAAGGGGGUAUAAGGAGUAUAGAUGAUCAAAGUUAAGUUGCUAUUAGCUUAAAAUUGAAAUGUUUUUUCUACGAGAUGUCUUAUGUAUGCCUCACGGUAACUAUGAGGCAAAAAACCUUGAGCAGAAACGGGAAAAACAAUGAUUAAAAAUGACAUUAAUAAGUCCUUACAUAUCAGUAAUAACUAUGUAAAUGCUUGAGUUAAUGAACUGAAAGAUACAUAGUUGGGCAUUAUUAUUUUUAUUCUUUCAGUCACUCUACAAGAGACUCACUUCAUCUUUAAGGAUGCACAUAGGCUGGACAUGAAGGGGAUGCAGAAAGCUAGCCAUGCAAGUGGAAGACAAGGUAUUAGCUAUAUUUAUAUCAAAGUAAGCUUUAAGCCAAAAGUGUAACAAGACAAAGGCCACUAUAUAAAGGGACCAAUUAAUCAAGAAGAUAUAACAAUUGUAAAUAUAUUUACAGCCAAUAUUAGACUGCCUAACUAUAUUAAGGAAAUAUUGGGUAUAAUAAAAGGUUAUGUAAUUUCAUGGCAAUAAAAAAUUUAAAAGCUCUCUAAUGAACAAUCUAUCUUUGUACUUCAAGGAACUAGAGAAAUAACAAAGAUCAGAGUGGAAACAGUUCAUUGAUCUAGUCUAUGAGCUGGUUUUUCAAAUAGAUAAACAAACCUUUUUUAGAUAGACUCAAAAGACUCCAGUCAGAAAUACAAAGGAUAAUAAGAAACUACAUAUUUCUUUAAAAAAUAUAG